rnacentral:sRNA from 1 species
AGGCACCUCGCCUUCAAAAAUGCCAACUUUUAGCGCACGGCUCACUACGAGCCAUUUCCCUGGACCCGAUACAGGAAUCGUAUUGGGUCUUUUUUU